UGUUCUUUCCGGUGACGCCCGUGAACAGUCUGAAGUCCAAGACAGACAUUCACAGGACCAAGACAGCGGAGGAAGACCCAGCGGCUUAAAUCCUUGUCGUUCAUCGACCCGCAUACAGCUCAUGUGACGCUAAAUGCUAACGUUAACUAACGCCGGCUAGCGGGAGGUGACUGCUCAGGGGCGUCACGAAGGGGACGUUAGUAAAGGGGAAAGCGACAGAGGGCUUUGAUGAAGUCGGCAAGUUUCCUCUCUCCAAGAGACUGAGCCACCAGUUCAUAGAUCUGAGCACCGCUGUCCCAGGAAGACUGAGCCCAGCUUGAUGAUGGGGCUCAGCAUCUGCUUGCCCUCCUGCACGGCAAUGUUACUCUUGCUCUGGCAUUUGAGGACCAUCUUGUCGUCCUGCCUCUGUAGGAGCACCAGCAGGUCCCCAAGCAACACACACUGCACCUCUGAGAGACAAGGAAGAGAAGGAGCAGGUCGGUGAAGUGGAAAAGACAGCAAAGGAAAAGAUAAAAGGAGAUCGGGGUAGGAGCGUUCUCUGCUGUCCGACUUCUCAAUAACUAAUAGCAGAACCCUGAUAACCCCAGGCAGUUUGCAUGGAGGUAACGCACACACAAGCAGAUAUUUACCAAUUGCUUUUUCUUUUGUGACUCUCCAGGUCACAGAGCCUUCAUAGAGCAUCUUCUUCUGAGUCAGAUCGAUGUUCUAGAAAAGACAGUGGGAGAAUAAUGAGCUAAACUAAUUCAAAGAACUAAAAUCUGUAAAGUUCAACAGUGUGCGCAACAAAAACUUUGCUGAAAGAACCGUACCUUAUAUUCUGUAUAAAGGUCAUUACUGGGUUUGAGCCCUGAUGUGUCCAGUCUACGUUGGUAGUCCUUCAGGGUCUGGGAACAGAGAAAGAGGUUAGCGGGUCAGACUGGAUCAGACGGCACAGAAGUAGACGUAGUCUAACAAGCAGAGACCUUCAGAGGUCUCAAAAUGAAUUUACUAGACUCCAAUAGGUGCUCAAUCACAACAUAACUGUGUUGAGUGAUGGAUUGUAUGUUUCUCACCAAUAGGUUCUCCAUCACUUUGACCUCCUCAUUGACAUGGUUGAGGAUCUUUCUGCAGCACUCUGCGCUCUGCUGGAUCCUCUCCUUCUCUGUUGGGUCCUCUGGGGAGAGACAGAAAACUCAGAGUUGAGGAAAAUGCAGCUUUCACAGCAGAGCCCAAACAAAAGCCAUAAAUCACAAGCGUACACAAACAUCUGGGACGGACCGUAUCGAUUGUGGAAAUGUUUUGCUAGUGUGCUUAAGUUAGUCCACAUUCAUCUGGUGUUCUGAUACAGAUUGGUGUAUCAGUAGUUUUAAGUAUUAGCAUAAUACAUUUCUGCAUUCUGUCUAAAUAAGAUGUCAUUUACUCAUAAUGUUUACCCAAACAGAUAAAUUCUCAUAUGGCUGUUGUAAAAAAUACAAUCCCAAGUGUGAGCUUGAAAAAUAUACAUAAACAUCAGACAUGGAGUCAUUAGUGAGUAAUUAUAAAAGGCAAUUCAUCAAUAUUCUUUUUAAGAAACCAGGAUAUAUGGAAAGUAUAGGACAAUGAGAUAAUAUAUACCAUGAAUCGAUGGAACAAUACCAUUGAUACCCCUUUAAUAUCUGUGAAUGUCGUAGACCAUUGUGGGCAAUGUUGUAAAUCGAUGAGCAGAAUACAGUAUAUGUUCAUCUGUUCAUUUUAUAUGAUUUUUGCAUCACUGUAAUGAAGUGGCUUGAUUGGUCAAGUAUUUAAUUUAAUGAAAUAGCAGCUUUAUUAACAAUUUACCUAUAGAAUAGAUCUACACUUGGCAUACUGACUCACACAUAAAAGUAAGCCACCACCUGGCAUAGGACGCACACACACACACUCGCACACACACACACACACACACCUGUGUUCUUGGCAAUAUUCUCCAGCAGCAACGGGUAUUUGGUCAGUCUCUGCAUCUCUAUGGGAAUGAUGUCCUUGAGCUGCAGCCUGCGGCAUUGGGGCUUACUCUCUGCCUCCUGAGAUUAAAACGAUACAAUACAGAGUCAGCAUGAGAACACAUGCAUGGGACAAGUUACGAGACCUAUUGAAUUCACUUUGCAUCUGUGGUUGCAUCCACGUGGGUCUUUUCGCUUAACCUUUAAGAUUCAGUUUGUGUGUGUAUACCAGUAUAAAGGAGUUGAAGCGUG